rnacentral:rRNA from 1 species
CACAAGACACGACUUAAAAGUCGGCUGACUUUUACUUUGGGUGACAAGACAGUACCUCCAAAGAGUCAAGAGUACGGACAACGGGGGCAACAUGUCAUGUCCUAACAUGCCUUGGCACACCUCUCAAUAUGUCUUAAGAAUACGAGUCGAUGUCGGAUGUCCAUAGGCGCACAAAAAGGCACACCUCUUAGUGUGUCUUAACGGUUCGCGUUCGUCCCAGACCUAUAAAAGCGGAAACUGUUCAGGCACCGGCGGUUCCUACUGGUUGACCACGGUACCGGACUAGUUGCCUGGGUGGGGUCUCGUCAUAUCCAUGGUAAGUCGUAAUUAGAGUCAGUCCGCUCUGUCUGUCUGUCUGUCUCUCUCUCUCUCUCUCUCUCUCUCUCUCUCUCUCUCUCUCUCUCUCUCGCCUCGAUCUUGCUACUCCGCUGCUGUACUCGACGACCAGAGCGGCAGAACAACGAACUCGCCGGAGCACGACGACGACGACCGCGACAGACGAGCUCGAGUCGCCGUUCGUGUCUGUCUACAGUGUCUAGGCAGGCUUCACCGGCGCGACUUGUAGUAGAAGAGUGCCACCCCGGACGUCCGCAGCCGCCGCACCUUGUAGUCACCGCUCGGAACGUCGCCACGGCGGUAGCUGCCGUGGCUGUAUCUAAGUCUGGGACUUAAUUUUGGCCGGUAAUUCACACUGACGAGGAUGUUGCGGUCGUGGCAGACGGUGUAGUGGUCCGACUUUCAUAUGCGUGAUCUACACCAACCAGUCUAAGGACACCUUGACGUUUUAGAUUGAAUGGACUGUUCGGACUUAAAUCGCGUCUUAAUGAACUGUCCUAGAAACGGUCGUAAAGAACCUUUCGACUGAGCCAACGUCAUAGACAUUCUUAAUGCUAAAUAGAAAGAGACUUCGUAAAUUUACAUUUACCAUAGAGCACAUCACGCAUUGAACGGGACAAAAGAAAAGUUUUAAUGUUCUUGAAACUCAUAGUUACGUAAUUGACCUCAAAAUGGCUCGCUCGACCCAUUGGAGUUCUUAGAGUAAAGAGACCCGCAAUCGUGUUUAUUCAAACAGCCAGGUGAGGGGCUUCAUCAUCUUUUGAACUGGUUUGAACUCGUUGACAUAUAGCUAUCAACACCAAAUUCACCUCUCGAUGGUAGAAGGAAAAGGUUUGAAUUCUUGGACUUUUAGGACACUUAAGAGAAUAGUAUGAAAUACUAGACAAUAUUUCAGUAAUUUUGUCUGAAUCACAUAAUUGAAGCAGGAAUAGAUAGGUCUACCCGUAGUCUAUUGCCCAAAUGACCCUUCUAUGGACUAGUGUAACCUUCGAAUAGUUUAAACGUCCUAGACUCUAAGGUACCUUUAUUGAAACUGCCAGGGUAAGGACGUUCAAAAAGAUUAGAAUAGUUGAACUGUUUAAACGCUUAACCACUAAAUUACCCUCUCGACAGAAGUAACCGAACACCAAUUGUACUGCAGCAACAUAUGAGAUCAAGACUCUUUGAGGUCCUAUAGACUGUUGGAAAGAAGUCACCUGAAGAGUUUUAAACAAUUGGAGUUGAUAGACCUGAACUCAAAAUUGUCGUAGUGUCCGUUUCAAUGAGGUUUGGAAGACUUGGACUUAGGGGAGCUUAAGGAUAAAGAACCCUCAUUAUUGGAGAGACCCUCGGAUGGUCUAUACUAAUCGUGAAGUGAAUGAUGAUAACUAGACAGUAUGUUAUACGAGAGUCCUUCUAUGGGAAGAACCCAAUUGUACUUAUUAAAUGUACACUUAAACCACACCUUGUUGAAACCCUAUCUAUUGAGCUUGUUGUCAUAAAACGGAAGUGCUGAUUUAACAGAAGUCGCUCUAUGAGGUACAAAACUAAGAGGUAGAAUAAGGAGGAAACGCCAUCUGAGACCACCAAGCUCUGGGUAGUCUCCGAGUCUGUUGAGGUAAAUGCUUGGACUACUACGGUCAGAAGGUCAACGUAGUAUGAUACAAUGCCUGAGUUGCUCUACCCCGCAAUCGUUGUAGCCCUCUAAGUACCUGGGCAGAUUACCCUCAAUAUAUUAUAUGUGAAGAGCGGUCAAAUGGUUGUGUGAACUAAGACUUGAUAAAGUCUGUCGGUCUUACAGUGGGAGAAGUAACUCUAUGAAGCCGUAACCCGAGUUCUUACCGUACAUGUCGCAACAUGAAGUCAAACGUCUCUAAAAAAAGGGUCUACUGCUCUGUACCUUUUCGCACCCUUUCUCCUAAAAGUUAUAUAUAUAGGUCCCUCUAGAAUUUCUUUGUCUGAAGCUAUAUUUCUUUGUUUGUUUACCUUUUAGAAUGUGACAAUAAGUCUCUGUCAUAUGACAACUUCAUUACUUAUUAAAGUAACUAUAGGUAGAGAAAACCCGACCUUUCCCGUGAACAACGUAAGGACUUGUUCCCAAGAUACCCGGUAGAUAUAGUCGGAAUUCGCAUAGAAGAAUACCAUCGUUGCCACUUCCCCUAAGACCAAGUGUCUCUUUGUCGUGAUAGUCAUCUUGUCCAAACCAACAACCUCAACAUCAGACACAACGCCAAAAUCCUAAAGAUCGUAAGCGACCCCGGAAACAAACCUCCGUCUUUUCUUCCUCCAAUCUCCACCUUUACCUUCUCGACAAGUGAUAUCAACCUUCCGGAUUGUAAAAGUCAAUACCACUUUAUUUUAGACGAUGCCUGUCAAAAUCAGAAUCGUUGUAAGAACCUUCUCCCCCAAUACCUGGACAAAUGUUCCCAUUCGAUGAACUACCCUCCUAACAUCGACAUUUCGUCGACAGAAGAUGUAGAGUAGUUCCCUUUUUCCUCAAGUACUGUCUUUAACGGUGGUAUAGACGCCACGUCGUGGCUUUGGAGCACUUCAACGUGCCAACAACGUAGCUGUCAUUCUGCGGUGAAAACCAGAUACUCAUGGACCUUGUUCCCUCGGAACUAGUUCGUUAGAAACCGUUCUGUCUGAACUUGGAUCUAACCUCUUGCGCGAAGCUCUAUACGCAACCGUAACGUUCUCCAGAUCGUAUAGAGGUACUCCUCAGGUCGUACGCCUAUCAGGUGUCCCUGUAGUUUCGGUCGUUACAGAACGAGCUGCGACUAGAGUUGGGAUUCUAGAGACUGAAGCCCGACCGGUCCGUAAUGUUCCUGUCGUACUGCGUAGAGUUGUGGCCUCAGCGACCGUGCGAACCAAUAGAGCGUGGGCUCAUGCGGUACUACCCUGUGGACUGCCUCUUCCGGCUGCAAAAGCGUAAGCCCCAGCACCGUGACCUCUAGGAGCGACCUGCGGCCUUGAAGCUACUGUCAGAGCUCCUUCUACUCUUCAUAGAAGAACCUACACGGACCGUAGACGUACUCUCGGUUGCCUGUGAACUUGACAACCUGUCAUUUGAGUAACUUAAGCUGCUCCUUCUCCGACGCGCUGAGUAGUUACAACGAGAAGAUACGUGCUACCCGGACGGAGUCGCCGCGGGUGGCUACAGGUUCCAGCACAGGUACGAGUGCCUUCUAUAGCUCCACUGGCUGCACCUGUGGUGGUACUCCGGAUCGAUGCACGGCCUUACCGUCCAGUCCUCGAAGUCGUCGUCAAUGCAGAGUCCCAGCCCCAGCAGCCGAGUCGUCAGGAGUGCGUCAGUUUAGUCGCGCGACAGGUCGAGCUCGUUCUUCGGGCCCUUGGUGUCCCUGUGGAGCGGCGAGCGGGACAGCGGAACAAGAUCGCCGCCCUAGCUGCUCCCUCGCCUAAGACCAAGCUCUACUCUUAGAUCUAGAACAGGAAAGGUUGUAACCCAGGAUCAUUAAAGAAGAACGAUAUACAAGUAUAAACCAAUCAAGAAGACGAAUUAAAUCCUACUAAAAACAAAAGAGAGCGUUUAUGUAUCUACAGAGCGAGAAACUAAGCAUAUUAAAAGUGUGCUGGAAAACUUGUGAGACACUUAACUUUUCCUUCUAUCCAUUCGCAGAGAUGGAAAGUCCUCCGGUGCAGUAACAUAAAUAUACACGUGUUAUACGCUCUCAAAAUGUUCUGGUCUUAAGUUAUCUAACCUCA